GAUGAACGCUGGCGGCGUGCCUAAUACAUGCAAGUCGAGCGAACAGACGAGGAGCUUGCUCCUCUGACGUUAGCGGCGGACGGGUGAGUAACACGUGGAUAACCUACCUAUAAGACUGGGAUAACUUCGGGAAACCGGAGCUAAUACCGGAUAAUAUAUUGAACCGCAUGGUUCAAUAGUGAAAGACGGUUUGCUGUCACUUAUAGAUGGAUCCGCGCCGCAUUAGCUAGUUGGUAAGGUAACGGCUUACCAAGGCAACGAUGCGUAGCCGACCUGAGAGGGUGAUCGGCCACACUGGAACUGAGACACGGUCCAGACUCCUACGGGAGGCAGCAGUAGGGAAUCUUCCGCAAUGGGCGAAAGCUUGACGGAGCAACGCCGCGUGAGUGAUGAAGGUCUUCGGAUCGUAAAACUCUGUUAUUAGGGAAGAACAAAUGUGUAAGUAACUAUGCACGUCUUGACGGUACCUAAUCAGAAAGCCACGGCUAACUACGUG
rnacentral:rRNA from 1 species